AGGUUGGUGAAAAAGUAAUUGCGGUUUUUGCCAUUGAAAGUAAUGGCAAAAACCGCAAUUACUUUUGCACCAAGCUA
rnacentral:miRNA from 1 species